rnacentral:rRNA from 1 species
GUGGGGAAUUUUGGACAAUGGGCGCAAGCCUGAUCCAGCAAUGCCGCGUGCAGGAAGAAGGCCUUCGGGUUGUAAACUGCUUUUGUACGGAACGAAACGGUCCGGGUUAAUACCCUGGGCUAAUGACGGUACCGUAAGAAUAAGCACCGGCUAACUACGUGCCAGCAGCCGCGGUAAUACGUAGGGUGCAAGCGUUAAUCGGAAUUACUGGGCGUAAAGCAUGCGCAGGCGGUUUUGUAAGACAGGCGUGAAAUCCCCGGGCUCAACCUGGGAAUUGCGCUUGUGACUGCAAGGCUGGAGUGCGGCAGAGGGGGAUGGAAUUCCGCGUGUAGCAGUGAAAUGCGUAGAUAUGCGGAGGAACACCGAUGGCGAAGGCAAUCCCCUGGGCCUGCACUGACGCUCAUGCACGAAAGCGUGGGGAGCAAACAGGAUUAGAAACCCUUGUAGUCC